GGGGGUUUAGCUCAGUGGCAUAAGCACCUGCCUGGCAAGCAUGAGGUCGAGAGUUCAAUCCCCG
rnacentral:tRNA from 1 species